rnacentral:rRNA from 1 species
CCUACGGGUAGCAGCAGUGGGGAAUAUUGCACAAUGGGGGAAACCCUGAUGCAGCGACGCCGCGUGAGUGAAGAAGUAUUUCGGUAUGUAAAGCUCUAUCAGCAGGGAAGAAAAUGACGGUACCUGAUUAAGAAGCCCCGGCUAACUACGUACCAGCAGCCGCGGUAAUACGUAGGGGGCAAGCGUUAUCCGGAUUUACUGGGUGUAAAGGGGGCGUAGACGGUUAUGUAAGUCUGGAGUGAAAGCCCGGGGCCCAACCCCGGGACUGCUUUGGAAACUGUGUAGCUGGAGUACAGGAGGGGCAGGGGGAAUUCCUGGUGUAGCGGUGAAAUGCGUAGAUAUCAGGAGGAACACCGGCGGCGAAGGCGGCCUGCUGGACUGAUACUGACGUUGAGGAUCGAAAGCGUGGGGAGCAAACAGGAUUAGAUACCCGAGUAGUC